rnacentral:rRNA from 1 species
GAUGAACGCUGGCGGCGUGCCUAAUACAUGCAAGUCGAGCGAACAGACGAGGAGCUUGCUCCUCUGACGUUAGCGGCGGACGGGUGAGUAACACGUGGAUAACCUACCUAUAAGACUGGGAUAACUUCGGGAAACCGGAGCUAAUACCGGAUAAUAUAUUGAACCGCAUGGUUCAAUAGUGAAAGACGGUUUUGCUGUCACUUAUAGAUGGAUCCGCGCCGCAUUAGCUAGUUGGUAAGGUAACGGCUUACCAAGGCAACGAUGCGUAGCCGACCUGAGAGGGUGAUCGGCCACACUGGAACUGAGACACGGUCCAGACUCCUACGGGAGGCAGCAGUAGGGAAUCUUCCGCAAUGGGCGAAAGCCUGACGGAGCAACGCCGCGUGAGUGAUGAAGAUCUUCGGAUCGUAAAACUCUGUUAUUAGGGAGGAACAAAUGUGUAAGUAACUAUGCACGUCUUGACGGUACCUAAUCAGAAAGCCACGGCUAACUACGUG